rnacentral:rRNA from 1 species
AAAUUGAAGAGUUUGAUCAUGGCUCAGAUUGAACGCUGGCGGCAGGCCUAACACAUGCAAGUCGAGCGGAAACGAGUUAUCUGAACCUUCGGGGAACGAUAACGGCGUCGAGCGGCGGACGGGUGAGUAAUGCCUAGGAAAUUGCCCUGAUGUGGGGGAUAACCAUUGGAAACGAUGGCUAAUACCGCAUGAUGCCUAUGGGCCAAAGA